UGAGGUAUGGCACAACAGAAAGUGUACCUGAUUUGAAUUCAAGGAACCUGGGUUCAAAUCCUAAUCCUACAA
rnacentral:tRNA from 1 species